rnacentral:lncRNA from 1 species
UCAAUUUCCCUCGCUAUAUGUAGAGAGCAAUGAUCAUUGAUCUAUUUCUUAUUUAGAUGCAAUUUAGCCACCAAUCUUACUAUUACUAAUUGGAGGCUCCUUUUGAACCCUCUAGGUGAAGUCACCUAGGAUUCUUAGGUGGAUACUCUAGAAAAAGAGACAAAUCCUAGAAACUCUCACAAAAAAGCAAAACAUCCGACCAUCAAUCGAUAGAUUCAAAUCAUCGUAGCCAUUAGAUCUAUUGUAUUUUGUAAAAAAUUACCCACCUAUGCCAUUAUAAAAAUAGCCUAAAGUAACCCCCUAAAUCUAUAUAUAAAUUACCCACCUAUGCCAUUAUAUAAAAUAAACUAAAGCAACCUCUAAUCUUCAUCAAAAUUAGCCACUUAUGCCAUUAUAAACAAUAUUUAAAAUAACCCCCUAAUUUGCAACUAAAUUGCCUACCACUAUUACUUAAAAAACUUAAAGUAAACCCUUAAAUUUGCGUCUAUAUUAC